rnacentral:rRNA from 1 species
AUUGAACGCUGGCGGCAUGCUUUACACAUGCAAGUCGAACGGUAACAGGUCUUCGGAUGCUGACGAGUGGCGAACGGGUGAGUAAUGCAUCGGAACGUGCCCAGUCGUGGGGGAUAACGCAGCGAAAGCUGUGCUAAUACCGCAUACGAUCUAUGGAUGAAAGCGGGGGAUCGCAAGACCUCGCGCGAUUGGAGCGGCCGAUGUCAGAUUAGCUAGUUGGUGGGGUAAAGGCCCACCAAGGCGACGAUCUGUAGCUGGUCUGAGAGGACGACCAGCCACACUGGGACUGAGACACGGCCCAGACUCCUACGGGAGGCAGCAGUGGGGAAUUUUGGACAAUGGGCGCAAGCCUGAUCCAGCAAUGCCGCGUGCAGGAAGAAGGCCUCGGUUGUAAGACGUCUUUCGGUCCGGGAACGGAAAUAC